rnacentral:rRNA from 1 species
CAUGGUUGUCGUCAGCUCGUGUCGUGAGAUGUUCGGGUUAAGUCCCGCAACGAGCGCAACCCUCGACCUUAGUUGCCAGCAUUCAGUUGGGCACUCUAAGGUGACUGCCGGCUAAAAGUCGGAGGAAGGUGGGGAUGACGUCAAAUCAUCAUGCCCCUUAUGACCUGGGCUACACACGUGCUACAAUGGGCGGUACAAAGGGUCGCGAACCCGCGAGGGGGAGCCAAUCCCAAAAAGCCGCUCUCAGUUCGGAUUGCAGGCUGCAACUCGCCUGCAUGAAGCCGGAAUCGCUAGUAAUCGCGGAUCAGCAUGCCGCGGUGAAUACGUUCCCGGGCCUU